rnacentral:rRNA from 1 species
GAUGAACGCUAGCUACAGGCUUAACACAUGCAAGUCGCGGGGCAGCAUGGGGGUUGCUUGCAAUCCCCGAUGGCGACCGGCGCACGGGUGAGUAACGCGUAUCCAACCUGCCCUUCACCACGGGAUAACCCGGCGAAAGUCGGACUAAUACCGUAUGUUGUCCAUUGACGGCAUCCGAUUUGGACGAAAGGUUUGGCGGUGAAGGAUGGGGAUGCGUCCGAUUAGCUGGACGGCGGGGUGACGGCCCACCGUGGCGACGAUCGGUAGGGGUUCUGAGAGGAAGGUCCCCCACACGGGAACUGAGACACGGUCCAGACUCCUACGGGAGGCAGCAGUGAGGAAUAUUGGUCAAUGGGCGUAAGCCUGAACCAGCCAAGUAGCGUGCAGGAGGACGGCCCUAUGGGUUGUAAACUGCUUUUAUGCGGGGAUAAAGUGGCCCACGUGUGGGUUUUUGCAGGUACCGCAUGAAUAAGGACCGGCUAAUUCCGUG